CGGUGUUUAACUGGCGUGAUGUGGGACGUCCUACCGGUGGGCUUAGCCUCGCGAGGGGGCGGCCCAACUAAUAUCCCGUCGCGGUGCUCUUUACUGAGUGUCGAGUCGGGCCGGUACGUUUACUUUGAACAAAUUAGAGUGCUUAAAGCAGGCUAUCCUCGCCUGAAUACUGCGUGCAUGGAAUAAUGGAAUAGGACCUCGGUUCUAUUUUGUUGGUUUUCGGAACCCCGAGGUAAUGAUUAAUAGGGACAGAUGGGGGCAUUCGUAUUGCGACGUUAGAGGUGAAAUUCUUGGAUCGUCGCAAGACGGACAGAAGCGAAAGCAUUUGCCAAAAAUGUUUUCAUUAAUCAAGAACGAAAGUUAGAGGUUCGAAGGCGAUCAGAUACCGCCCUAGUUCUAACCAUAAACGAUGCCAGCUAGCGAUCCGCCGAAGUUCCUCCGAUGACUCGGCGGGCAGCUUCCGGGAAACCAAAGCUUUUGGGUUCCGGGGGAAGUAUGGUUGCAAAGCUGAAACUUAAAGGAAUUGACGGAAGGGCACCACCAGGAGUGGAGCCUGCGGCUUAAUCUGACUCAACACGGGAAACCUCACCAGGCCCAGACACCGGAAGGAUUGACAGAUUGAUAGCUCUUUCUUGAUUCGGUGGGUGGUGGUGCAUGGCCGUUCUUAGUUGGUGGAGCGAUUUGUCUGGUUAAUUCCGAUAACGAACGAGACUCUAGCCUGCUAAAUAGGCGUACCUUAUGGUAUCGCGAAGGCCCCCGGCUUCGGCCGGUGGGUUUUUACUACCAACGUACAAACAAAUCUUCUUAGAGGGACAGGCGG
rnacentral:rRNA from 1 species